GUCUUAUUGGAAAAUUUAAUAAUAAGUCAAUUCUGCUCAAUGACAUAAUUGUUUAAUAGCUGCAGUAUAACUGACUGUACAAAGGUAGCAUAAUCAAUUGUCUUUUAAAUGAGGUCCAGUAUGAAAGAAUAAAUGAAAUAUAUACUGUCUCAGUAAUAAUAAUUGAAAUUAAAUUUUUAAUUAAAAUGUUAAAAUAUAAUUAUGGGACGAUAAGACCCUAUAGAAUUUUAUAUUAUAUAAUUUAUUAAAAUUUAUUUAAUUUUAGUAAAUUUAUUAAUAUUUAAUUGGGAGGAUUAUUAAAAUUAAAAAAACUUUAAUAUUUAAAAUUACUAUAAUUUUAGAAUAUAAUAAAGAUUAAAAUUAUUUUUAUAAUUAGAAUAAAUUACCUUAGGGAUAACAGCGUAAUAUUUUUUAAGAGACCUUAUCUAUAAAAAUGUUUGCGACCUCGAUGUUGAAUUAAGAUAAAUUUUAAACGCAGUAGUUUAAUAAUUAAGUCUGUUCGACUUUUUAAAUCUUAC
rnacentral:rRNA from 1 species